rnacentral:rRNA from 1 species
CAGCAGCCGCGGGAAUACGAAGGGGGCUAGCGUUGUUCGGAUUUACUGGGCGUAAAGGGCGCGUAGGCGGACUGAUAAGUCAGGGGUGAAAUCCCAAGGCUCAACCUUGGAACUGCCUUUGAUACUGUUUGUCUUGAGUUCGAGAGAGGUAAGUGGAACUGCGAGUGUAGAGGUGAAAUUCGUAGAUAUUCGCAAGAACACCAGUGGCGAAGGCGGCUUACUGGCUCGAAACUGACGCUGAGGCGCGAAAGCGUGGGGAGCAAACAGGAUUAGAUACCCCUGUAGUCCCUGUCUCUUAUAC